rnacentral:rRNA from 1 species
AGGGAAUAUUGGUCAAUGGGCGCAAGCCUGAACCAGCCAUGCCGCGUGCAGGAAGACGGCCCUCUGGGUUGUAAACUGCUUUUGAUAGGGAACAAAUGCCACUUGCGAGUGGAGCUGAGUGUACCUAUAGAAUAAGCACCGGCUAACUCCGUGCCAGCAGCCGCGGUAAUACGGAGGGUGCAAGCGUUGUCCGGAUUUAUUGGGUUUAAAGGGUGCGUAGGCGGCCUAAUAAGUCAGUGGUGAAAGCCUCCAGCUUAACUGGAGAACUGCCAUUGAUACUGUUAGGCUUGAGUAUACUUGAGGUAGGCGGAAUUGACAGUGUAGCGGUGAAAUGCAUAGAUAUUGUCAAGAACACCAAUUGCGAAGGCAGCUUACUAAAUUAUAACUGACGCUGAGGCACGAAAGUGUGGGUAUCAAACA